CCAUGUCCCAGCCCCUGGUGGAGGGUGGGAGGCAGGCAGGGCAGGUGACAGGACAGGGACAAAGAGAAAAGUGCCGAGAAGAAAGAAAACCACUAAGGAGGGAAAGAGGAAAUAAGAGAGAGAGCCUCAGCCACACUGGGUCAGGGACGGCCCUGCCAAUAACGUCGUGUCUGUGCCAUCUCCCAGGGAAUCUUUGUCACAGCUGGGAGGUGGGCCAAGUUGGCCCCAUUGUACAGAGGGGAAACUGAGGCUCAGCCCGGGCAGAGUACCCAGCUAGGGGGCUGAGGUCUAACUCAUUUUGUGUAACUCUAAAGUAUUUUAAACUCAUCCCUGGGAAGAAAAAAAAUCACAUGAAAACCUGCAGCAAAGAGUCUAAGGCCACAGAGGCCCGGGUUCGCAUCCUGGCUCUGCUGUUUCUACGCUGAGUUUGUUCUGUAGAUUAACAAAAUGUGCCAGGACCCCUCCCCGCCUUUUCCUGUAGUUUUGCUGUCCUAGGGAACUUUUAACCCAUGUGUGUGACAUGCAGCAUUGACUGAGAGUCCCGGACCGCCGCCCUGAAAAACUUAAAAAAGAAAAAGAGAACCCAGCUUCGAGUAGAUUCAGCGGCUGGACUGCACCAGGAUCUCUUUAUCUUCCUUAGCCUGGUGCCAGCGGACGGCUGCUCGUGACGCCUUUGUCCCUUAUGCACCAUGCGGAUGCAGAGACAGCAUCAAGCAAAGCAGACUCGGUCUCCGUCCUCCAUGCUAAUAAGAGAUGCAGUUGGGAAUGUGAACACCACACAGAGUGCGUGCUGCCAGAAGGGACGGCACAACCAAGUUCCUGGACCCAGACUCUGGACAGAUGAGGAAACAAAGGCUCAGAGAUGUGAAGGAAUUUUCCCAAGGUCACCCAGAGAGAUGGAACGGGGCUGAGACAGGAUUUCAAGCCCAGCCAGGUCUCUUCAUUCUUCUGCACACAGCCAUUCCUCGUGUCUGCUGCAUGCUCACUCCACAUGAGGCAGGAUGCUGGUGGCAGGGGUGUAACUGUGAACUCACUCUUUGAUUUAUUCCACAAAUGCCUAGAGCACCUUCCAUGUUCCAGGCGCCGGAUGUGCCCAUGUCCCCCAGGGUGAUCCAGGAACAUACACACAUAUGAGAGGACACACUGGCACAUACCUAAGCUUGCACAUGCACAGACAUGCAUGCAGAGACGCACCCAGAUAUCCAUGCCUACAAGCAUUCAUAAAUACAGAUACAGACAUAUGCCUCCAUUAGGACACUGACAUCCAGGCUUCAAAAUGAGGUAAGAGAAAUACACAUGCAACACACAUUGGUAUAUAACACACAUCAGCAUGCAACGUCCAUCAGCACACAGACCUCAGCCACACACCCAUGGGGGCCCAGAAGCAGCCCACACACUCAAGCCUUUCUUCCUCCCCUCUUGCUGCCACGUCUUGACACCCCUCAUCCCCAAUGUGUCAAGGGAGCCCCAUUUGGCCAUAACCAAUGCCUCAUCUGAGUUUGACACCCCACCCCACCACAGUCACAGCCCCCGGCGGCUGGGGCAUGUGACUUCCCUUCCUAGGCAGAGCAAGGACCUCCAGCCCAUCCCCAGAGCAUGGACGCUUUUGGCCUUGCCACCAAGGUCCCUCCUCUCUCUAAGAGGCUGCCCUUCCACCACCCCAAAUCCUUUCCAAGACAACCGUGAGACACAGAGGGUUUAGAAACC
rnacentral:lncRNA from 1 species